rnacentral:rRNA from 1 species
CCCUUAGAUGUUCUGGGCCGCACGCGCGCUACACUGAUCAGUGCAACAAGCAUCCGUCCUUGGCCGACAGGCCCGGGCAAUCUUUGAACGCUGAUCGUGAUGGGGAUAGACUUUUGCAAUUUUUGGUCUUCAACGAGGAAUUCCUAGUAAACGCAAGUCAUCAACUUGCAUUGAUUACGUCCCUGCCCUUUGUACACACCACCCGUCGCACCUACCGAUUGAAUGGUCCGGUGAAGCCUCCGGAUUGGCGUGCACCCUCGGGUGCUGCCGAGAAGUUGGCUAAACCUUACCAUUUAGAGGAAGGUGAAGUCGUAACA